CCAAUCGGAGAAAGCCGGCCUCAGUUCGGAUUGCAGUCUGCAACUCGACUGCAUGAAGCUGGAAUCGCUAGUAAUCGCGGAUCAGCAUGCCGCGGUGAAUACGUUCCCGGGCCUUGUACACACCGCCCGUCACAUCACGAAAGUGGGUUGUACUAGAAGCAGGUGAGCUAACCGCAAGGAAGCAGCCUUCCAAGGUGUGAUUCAUGAUUGGGGUGAAGUCGUAACAAGGUAGCC
rnacentral:rRNA from 1 species